CUGUGAUGGCGGUGGUACUGGUCAGUUUGGUUAGUUACAGUGUUCUAGAAGUUACAGUGUACUAGCUUGGUGUUGUGGUGUUGUCUAUAAGUGUUCUGUGGUGUUGUCAACGCCCGUGGGUGUUGUGUAAAUGGGUGCGCGUUAUCGCGCGACGCCGGCACGGCCCAUCGCUUUGCUCGCGCAUAUUGCGAACGUGGGAUCUUCGAAGUCUGUGGCAGACGGGGGCGGCGAAGAAAGUGAACCAUCGAUCGUGGACUCAGCCCAACGGUACGAUGCGUGGUGCCAAAGGUCAUGUCCUGAAAAGUACAAUGGUGCAAGGGUACCCAAAUUUCUACAAGUGUUCUACAACGAUGCAGUGAGACCCCAAGAAAAGGUUUUCGCUUGGCACUGGAUACACCUGCAUGGGUACAUACCACCCUUGGCCUACCGUGAUCACGAUCUUAAGUGCUUGGAUAUAUAACUGGAGCAAGACAAGUGGCGGCGGAAGAUGUACGGUCACUCUCAAUAUGACUUGCAUCACGGGAGCGCGUGGUAUCAUGAGUUCAAAGACUGGCCAUGGCUUCCACUAGCCCUUAUUUCCAUAACUAAAUGCUGUUCUCGCACUCGGGGAUGAUUCCAAAUAAGAAAAUAUCAUUUAGUUGCUGAAAUGAAAACACGUUGAACCCAUGCACAAUCUUUGAACUCAUGAGGCCACACCCUCCCGUAUUGCAAGUCAUACUGAGUGAAAAAAAGAUUCUGCUAAAAGAUUCUGCUAAAAGGUUCUACAUAAAAGUGGAAAAGUGAUUCUGCUACUCCAUGUAAUCCUGCUGUCUGCUAAGCAGGGCAAGCUCUAGAAGUAUGCGCACAAACAAUGCUGUCGAUAUGGUUGCGGUUUGCCUAGUCUAGGAAUGGCUACAAUUUAUGCCUAUUGAUGCCCAUUUCCACUGGGCAGCAAGUUUGCCAGUUUCCCAGCAUUACAUCAUGUAUGUAGUGAUCACCUUGUUUUUAUGAACUGCUUGAAGUGUCAUGUGAAGACCAAGAAGGGCUCCAACGACAAUAAAAUCAUCUUUUUUUCUAUAAAAACCAGGCAAGUAACAGAAUCAAGCAAUAUUGCUCAUUAAUUUGAGCUACGCACAAUAAUUCUUAUAUAGGGUCAUUCCACGCCAAACGUCCCAGGCGACCAUCUCAAAUGUUCUCGAAAAAAAUCGUGCUGAUUUCUUGCAUUCAAAACAGCGAUUCGCUAGAAUAUUUCGGAGAGAAAAAAUUUUUUGGUCACAUGGGAGCCUUCCGAAUUUCGCAGAAGGUCGUCCGAGUGGUGGUUUGUCAGAAAAAUUAUAUUGAGUUAUCGUUGCUUGCUUCAAUACCAAAUUUGUUUUUCUUACUAAGCAAAGGUGUUUGUGUAAGGUGUUCGAAGCUCAAUAAUAUUAGUGCAAUUUUUCUGCCACAAACGCCUCCAGAAAAUUUGCCAAAAUGUCCUGUGUUUGCAUUUUUUCCUGUGUAAUAUUGCGCUAUGUAUGAAUAUCUGAAUAAUGAAUACUUACUCUACAAAAAGGUAUAUUUUGCGUUGAAAAUAUUAUUCAGACCACUGCUGCUUUUCAAUUUUGCAAGAAAAAAUCGCAAACUUGAGAAAAUCAUCAUUUUGGUCCACACUGAAAAGCAAUUUACAACAUGUGGUGCUCUAAUUAAAAUUCAUCU